GGCACACUGACCUCCAAGACCCUGACACUGCGCUGAGAGGUGGGAAAGCACAAGAGAUCCUGACAGCUAAGUUACUGAGAAGGAGAAAGACUUUCCUCAAGCUGGUUAACUUCCUCAGUACCAGAGGUCUGGCAAAGAAAAGCAGAGAAACUACCAGAGUACCAGAAAUCCUUACAAGGAAACAGCUUUGCUGUAGCUCUGCAACCAGGAAACCAGGUGCCGUAGGAGCUGGUGGAAGGAGGCACGUAAAGGGGCUGCCGGGAUGAAGCAGGACAAUAACAAUCUUCUCACAUAAGAACAGAUUCUGGUCUGUUGAAAUGUAGAACCUAAUAGCAAUAUUGUCCAGGUUGAACUGCAGUGGGAGCACUGUCCUGCUCUCAGUAGCUCAGCAGAUGAGAAAAGAAACAGUGAUUUUGUCUGGAAAGAAAACUUCAGCAAGGCAUAUACCCAUGAAAGUGGGGUGAAGUGAGGAGAAAAGGCACAUGAAAGACUGUGAAAAGGAAUGGGGAGAAGAUACAAUAAAGAGGAGAAGUGAGACUUGAGCUGAAGAAAAGAGGGAGAGAAUCAAGCAGGGAUGAGAAGCUGGAAGAAAGACUGAAGCCACAGAGCCAAGCUGAGGCAGAAGUUGGAAGGAAUAAAUUUUCUUUGUGAUGUCCAUCAGAGCUUUUCCUGCCUAUAUUAUGCUGUCUUCGCAGUGGGAUGCUGCCUGUCUCCACAGCAACCAGCAGCCAGGAGACCUUUCUUCCCUGCCCGCAUUGACUGCCCUCUGGAGAGGUGCCCUCAAAUUGUCACUCUUAGAAAAGUCAGAAAAGAGAACAGUAC
rnacentral:lncRNA from 1 species